GACCCUCUUCCUUACCCCCAUCAUCACUCACCCACAAGCAAACCUAACACAGACACAAGUGAAACCCAUAGCAGUGCCAAAAUCAAAGAAGGAAAGGGAGAAGAGGGUUGACGGGGACGGAGGCCGCUGCCCAAUCCGCGCCGCCGUUGCCCUCGUCGCGUCGCGCCGCCAGUGUCACGUUGCCGUGCUCCCGCUACAGUCCGACGCGUCUUGCCUGCGCCAUCACUCGCGCCCAUCGCCGUCGCAGGAGGAGCUAGCGUUGCUGUCGAACGGUGCUGAGCCACCGAAGCCGUCACCUUGCCGUCGUGCCUUGUCCUUGUUGCCGCACGAACAGAGGAGAGUGAGGGACCUAGAGAGAAAGGGCGAAGAACGGAGCCAUCACGGGGGCCCUGGCCGCCGCUGCCGGAGGCGUGGAGGAAGGGAGAGCAGUCGCACAUCCAGCUGCGUCGCCACCAUGCCUUGCCUCGCCGCCGUUGAUCUAUCCGCAGUCCACUUCCGCCGGAGCUCAUGCCAUCGCCGAUUGAGCACCACGAAGAACAUAGGGUGCGCUCGAUGAGUGAGAAGGGAUGGAGGCUGGGUUUUUGUCCCUGUACUACUCCAUUUCUACCUCUACCAUGCCCUAUUGAAACUGUCGGAGCCUCUGCCAUCAUCGGGGUGGCUGUUUAGUUGAUGCUGCUGCCUGGGUCGCUGCGGUACGAGCUGCCGUCAAUGGAGCUGCUCCGUGCAGUGGUUUCGGUGAGUUUCGACACUGAGCUGCUAUUAUCAGAAAUUCAGGCCGCCGUUAUCGCUCGGAAUUUAACGGAGCCGCUGCCGGGUUGCCGCCGAACCGGUUCGGAGACCGCCGCUGUUUCAGUUCAGCCCUCCUUCGGCUCGAGUUGUUGAGACUGUUGCGAAAGUGGCUUGGAACCGAGGUUUUGGCUGCCGAGAUUUUGAUUGUUGAUUUUGGGUCGAGGCGGAAAGGAUUCUGUGACGCGUUUGGGCUAUGGUUUUGCGUUUUGAGGAUAUGGGCGCAGAAGUUACGAAGAAUUUAUUUAGUUGUUGUUGAGAUGCUCUGUAUUGUUUUAGUUAUGGUCUAUUGUACCCUCGCCUUUAUCUUGAUAUAUUCUGUAAGAGGGAUAGGAACUGUUUUGGAUAAUACUUGUAAUAUCAUUUAUGUAUAUAUAUAUAUACAUGUAUGUACGCUUUAUGAGUUAUUGUAAGUGUAUUGUAUGCAUGGAUGUACGUUGUAAUCCAAAAGUAUCUUUUGGAUUGGUAUUGCGGUUUAAAGUUUUUAAACAGGCUCAUAUUUUGGUAUUAAAUUGUAUAAGUGUCGUCGUAAUGUCCGAGCUAUCAGAGUUGCGCAGCCGGAAGCGUGAGCUUUGGUAGUUAGGGUGUUACAGUAAACCCAUACAAGCAUUUAUUGAAGAUGACCAUGGUAAAAAUGUUUUACAUGUAGACAGGACCUAAAUUUUAUUGAAGAUGACCAUGGUAAGCAUUCAUACAAGUACUAAUUCAAUCAACAGAGUAGCAAACACCUAAAUUUUAACUAGAGAAACUAUUCCAAUUUUUUAAAUACUUUCUCACCUCUCCCUGGAAUUAAGUUCAUCACCUAAACAUAAUCUCAAGAUAAAAUAAAAAAUCCAUAGCACCAAAAUGACAGCCAAA